GACAGAGGGUGCGAACGUUGUUCGGAAUUACUGGGCGUAAAGCGCAUGUAGGCGGCAACGCAAGUCGGGCGUGAAAUCCCACGGCUCAACCGUGGAAGUGCACUCGAAACUGCGUAGCUAGAGUCCUGGAGAGGAAGGUGGAAUGCUUGGUGUAGAGGUGAAAUUCGUAGAUAUCAAGCGGAACACCGGUGGCGAAGGCGGCCUUCUGGACAGUGACUGACGCUGAGAUGUGAAAGCGUGGGGAGCAAACAGG
rnacentral:rRNA from 1 species